rnacentral:rRNA from 1 species
GGGUUGUGAGGUUAAGCGACUAAGCGUACACGGUGGAUGCCCUGGCAGUCAGAGGCGAUGAAGGACGUGCUAAUCUGCGAUAAGCGUCGGUAAGGUGAUAUGAACCGUUAUAACCGGCGAUUUCCGAAUGGGGAAACCCAGUGUGAUUCGUCACACUAUCAUUACGUGAAUACAUAGCGUAAUGAAGCGAACCGGGGGAACUGAAACAUCUAAGUACCCCGAGGAAAAGAAAUCAACCGAGAUUCCCCCAGUAGCGGCGAGCGAACGGGGAGCAGCCCAGAGUCUGAAUCAGCUUGUGUGUUAGUGGAACGGUCUGGAAAGUCCGACGGUACAGGGUGAUAGUCCCGUACACCAAAAUGCACAGGUUGUGAACUCGAAGAGUAGGGCGGGACACGUGGUAUCCUGUCUGAAUAUGGGGGGACCAUCCUCCAAGGCUAAAUACUCCUGACUGACCGAUAGUGAACCAGUACCGUGAGGGAAAGGCGAAAAGAACCCCGGCGAGGGGAGUGAAAAAGAACCUGAAACCGUGUACGUACAAGCAGUGGGAGCACCCUUUGGGGUGUGACUGCGUACCUUUUGUAUAAUGGGUCAGCGACUUAUAUUCUGUAGCAAGGUUAACCGUAUAGGGGAGCCGAAGGGAAACCGAGUCUUAACUGGGCGUUAAGUUGCAGGGUAUAGACCCGAAACCCGGUGAUCUAGCCAUGGGCAGGUUGAAGGUUGGGUAACACUAACUGGAGGACCGAACCGACUAAUGUUGAAAAAUUAGCGGAUGACUUGUGGCUGGGGGUGAAAGGCCAAUCAAACCGGGAGAUAGCUGGUUCUCCCCGAAAGCUAUUUAGGUAGCGCCUCGUGAACUCAUCUUCGGGGGUAGAGCACUGUUUCGGCUAGGGGGUCAUCCCGACUUACCAACCCGAUGCAAACUGCGAAUACCGAAGAAUGUUAUCACGGGAGACACACGGCGGGUGCUAACGUCCGUCGUGAAGAGGGAAACAACCCAGACCGCCAGCUAAGGUCCCAAAGUCAUGGUUAAGUGGGAAACGAUGUGGGAAGGCACAGACAGCCAGGAUGUUGGCUUAGAAGCAGCCAUCAUUUAAAGAAAGCGUAAUAGCUCACUGGUCGAGUCGGCCUGCGCGGAAGAUGUAACGGGGCUAAACCAUGCACCGAAGCUGCGGCAGCGACACUAUGUGUUGUUGGGUAGGGGAGCGUUCUGUAAGCCGUUGAAGGUGUACUGUGAGGUAUGCUGGAGGUAUCAGAAGUGCGAAUGCUGACAUAAGUAACGAUAAUGCGGGUGAAAAACCCGCACGCCGGAAGACCAAGGGUUCCUGUCCAACGUUAAUCGGGGCAGGGUGAGUCGACCCCUAAGGCGAGGCCGAAAGGCGUAGUCGAUGGGAAACAGGUUAAUAUUCCUGUACUUGGUGUUACUGCGAAGGGGGGACGGAGAAGGCUAUGUUAGCCGGGCGACGGUUGUCCCGGUUUAAGCAUGUAGGCGGAGGUUCCAGGUAAAUCCGGUACCUUUUUAACGCUGAGGUGUGAUGACGAGGCACUACGGUGCUGAAGUAACAAAUGCCCUGCUUCCAGGAAAAGCCUCUAAGCAUCAGGUAACACGAAAUCGUACCCCAAACCGACACAGGUGGUCAGGUAGAGAAUACCAAGGCGCUUGAGAGAACUCGGGUGAAGGAACUAGGCAAAAUGGUGCCGUAACUUCGGGAGAAGGCACGCUGAUAUGUAGGUGAAGCGGUUUACCCGUGGAGCUGAAAUCAGUCGAAGAUACCAGCUGGCUGCAACUGUUUAUUAAAAACACAGCACUGUGCAAACACGAAAGUGGACGUAUACGGUGUGACGCCUGCCCGGUGCCGGAAGGUUAAUUGAUGGGGUUAUCCGUAAGGAGAAGCUCUUGAUCGAAGCCCCGGUAAACGGCGGCCGUAACUAUAACGGUCCUAAGGUAGCGAAAUUCCUUGUCGGGUAAGUUCCGACCUGCACGAAUGGCGUAAUGAUGGCCAGGCUGUCUCCACCCGAGACUCAGUGAAAUUGAACUCGCUGUGAAGAUGCAGUGUACCCGCGGCAAGACGGAAAGACCCCGUGAACCUUUACUAUAGCUUGACACUGAACACUGGUCCUUGAUGUGUAGGAUAGGUGGGAGGCUUUGAAGUGUGGACGCCAGUCUGCAUGGAGCCAUCCUUGAAAUACCACCCUUUAAUGGCUGGUGUUCUAACGUGGACCCGUGAUCCGGGUUGCGGACAGUGUCUGGUGGGUAGUUUGACUGGGGCGGUCUCCUCCUAAAGAGUAACGGAGGAGCACGAAGGUUAGCUAAUCCUGGUCGGACAUCAGGAGGUUAGUGCAAAGGCAUAAGCUAGCUUGACUGCGAGAGUGACGGCUCGAGUAGGUGCGAAAGCAGGUCUUAGUGAUCCGGUGGUUCUGAAUGGAAGGGCCAUCGCUCAACGGAUAAAAGGUACUCCGGGGAUAACAGGCUGAUACCGCCCAAGAGUUCAUAUCGACGGCGGUGUUUGGCACCUCGAUGUCGGCUCAUCACAUCCUGGGGCUGAAGUAGGUCCCAAGGGUAUGGCUGUUCGCCAUUUAAAGUGGUACGCGAGCUGGGUUUAGAACGUCGUGAGACAGUUCGGUCCCUAUCUGCCGUGGGCGCUGGAGAAUUGAGGGGGGCUGCUCCUAGUACGAGAGGACCGGAGUGGACGCAUCACUGGUGUUCGGGUUGUCAUGCCAAUGGCAUUGCCCGGUAGCUAAAUGCGGAAGAGAUAAGUGCUGAAAGCAUCUAAGCACGAAACUUGCCCCGAGAUGAGUUCUCCCUGAGACUUUAAGUCUCCUGAAGGAACGUUGAAGACGACGACGUUGAUAGGUCGGGUGUGUAAGCGUAGCGAUACGUUGAGCUAACCGAUACUAAUGAACCGUGAGGCUUAACCUUACAACGCCGAAG